rnacentral:rRNA from 1 species
UCCCGUAAGGGACAUCAGUACAGGUGGUGCAUGGCUGUCGUCAGCUCGUGUCGUGAGAUGUUGGGUUAAGUCCCGCAACGAGCGCAACCCUUAUUCUUAGUUGUUUCCCUUUGGGAUUACCCUCUAAGAAGACUGCCUCGGAUAACGGGGAGGAAGGUGGGGAUGACGUCAAGUCCGCAUGCUCCUUACGUCUAGGGCUACACACGUCCUACAAUGGGGUCGACAAUGGGAUGCAAUAUCGCAGGAUGGAGCCAAUCCCCAAACGGCCUCUCAGUUCGGAUUGUAGUCUGCAACUCGACUACAUGAAGUUGGAAUCGCUAGUAAUGGCAGAUCAGCAUGCUGCCGUGAAUACGUUCCCGGGUCUU